CCGCCGAGCCCGGCACGGGGACGCCGCCGUGACCCACAUCCCACCCGGGAAGGGCAGCAGGGGAAUCUCCCAGCGCCGGAGCCGGAGCGGCCCUGCCAGAGCAGAUGAACACAAACAACUCUGCCUCUUGUUGGGCUCUUUCAGAAUGGCCAGUUCAUUCUGUCAGUUGGCUGCAAGGCAAAAGCUGCUGCUGCUCCCAGAGCUCUGCUUUCCUCAGGAAUGGAAACCAAAGCCGUCACACUCGCUGGGAAUGUCUUCCCAAGCGUUUGCUCCCAGGACAGUUAAAUUAGAAACCAACCUUUAGCUCCUGCCAGCACUCCAGAGAGUGAAGAUUUGGUGUCUGUGAUGCCUUGGGAGGGCUGAGCUGGAACAGAGGCUGGGCAGAGCUGGAGAAUAAAGCAGAGAUUUAUUCAAA